UACGAACCGUCCAAACGUUACUCGGAAUCACUGGGCUUAAAGGGUGCGUAGGCCGCGCGGAGGGUGGGAUGUGAAAUCCCCCGGCUCAACCGGGGAAUAGCGUCCCAAACCGCCGUGCUCGAGGGAGACAGAGGUGAGCGGAACUGAUGGUGGAGCGGUGAAAUGCGUAGAUAUCUGGGGGGAACACCAGUGGCGAAGGCGGCAUCCUGGACCGAGAUUGACGCUGAGGCGCGAAAGCUAGGGGAGCAAACGGG
rnacentral:rRNA from 1 species